rnacentral:rRNA from 1 species
GUGGCUUCCGGAGCUAACGCGUUAAGUCGACCGCCUGGGGAGUACGGCCGCAAGGUUAAAACUCAAAUGAAUUGACGGGGGCCCGCACAAGCGGUGGAGCAUGUGGUUUAAUUCGAUGCAACGCGAAGAACCUUACCUACUCUUGACAUCCAGAGAACUUAGCAGAGAUGCUUUGGUGCCUUCGGGAACUCUGAGACAGGUGCUGCAUGGCUGUCGUCAGCUCGUGUUGUGAAAUGUUGGGUUAAGUCCCGCAACGAGCGCAACCCUUAUCCUUUGUUGCCAGCGAUUCGGUCGGGAACUCAAAGGAGACUGCCAGUGAUAAACUGGAGGAAGGUGGGGAUGACGUCAAGUCAUCAUGGCCCUUACGAGUAGGGCUACACACGUGCUACAAUGGCAUAUACAAAGAGAAGCGACCUCGCGAGAGCAAGCGGACCUCAUAAAGUAUGUCGUA